CUUCGGGGUUCCUGGGUGUCACACAGAUCUCGGUGGGACCUCCAAAUGAAAGAACUCAGUGGGGAAACCCCCACUCAGCACCCAAGAAUCACGAAUAGAACA
rnacentral:pre_miRNA from 7 species